ensembl:lncRNA
AUUUAAAGGGCCAGGCACAUAAAAUAUUUCUUACUGCAGGAAUUUGUCCCUAUGUGGCUCCGCUUAACUAUGCAGAGGUUGUAACUUACCUGUAGAUCAGAGACUCUGCAUGGAAAAUGUUCAUGGAUGAAGAAAUAAGUACAGGCUAUGAACUUUGUGCAUGGUAUUGGUCCCCGCACCUUUCAUUCAUCAGGAAAGGUCUAAAAUCCCCUAGCAUGAGGAUGUAGCAGAGCCCAGGAUGAGUGCUCCCUCAGACAGAGCUGCUGCAGCAGGAGCACUGAGUGUUCACAGCAAAUCAAUCAACACUUGCUGAGUUCUUUUAAAAACCAAUUGAGGACCCCACAAAUUAUUCAUCUUACAGACCUGAAUCCAAGUGAAGAGAACAAUGGGUAUGGUGUUCUGAAGCCAAGUUACAUCCUAUACAGCUGUGAAUACGCCUGAGGAGCUGUCUCCUUGGUUUUCUGAAGCAUCACUAAGGGAGCCAGAGGAAAUCAGAGCUCAACAGAGCUCUGGGGAUGCUGACAUUCACAGCUUCAGCUCUUUAUCAGGCGAGGUCAAAAGAUCACCUGUCUGGUCCGUCCUUGAAUAUCCUCCAGUGUGUGGGGUUGGACUGUAAUGAAGUCUGCAGGAGAGGAGCUGGCCCUCAGAUGCUACAUGUCAGUGUGUGUGGGAAACACCUGAACUCUGCCAUUACAGAUCAGAGAGAUGAGCUGCAAUCUCAUUCAAUAGAUUGUGUGCAUUCCUGGGCUUUGGCUACGACCAUGCAGGUCUGUUGUCUCAUCCUUCAUUGUUCAUGUGGACGAGUUGUAGGAAGGCACCAACACGAUUGUUUCCCUUCAUCCUACCAUCUUAGACUUUAGUGCAACACUUCACGUCUGAUCUUCCAAACCCACUGUUCUAACUUUACUUCAACAUGCAUGUCUCUAUUAUCCCUACACCGUGUGUAUGUGUGUGUGUGUGUACAGUUAGUUUGCAUACAAGUUUAGAAAAACCUUGCCAGUGAAAUCAUGUAGGAGUCUAUGUAAAAAAUCUGUAAGCUGUGGAUGGGGCACAAUUCAAAUGUUCUCCCACAGCAUGGCCUUCUAGAAAGAGUAGCAUAAACUACAAUAAAAGAACACACUUGAAAGUAAGACUUGGAGGAAAUGCCCUGGCGUAUCCACAUUGUCACUGUGAACUGUGACAUUGCUCUCUUGGCCUCUGGGGCCAGACAGGAGGGCUCUGAAGCCCAGCUGCAUCCUGUGGAGCUGUGCAUAAGCUUGAGGCAGCUGUCAACUGGGUCACAUGAAGCUUGGUGAAUGGAGUGAGAAGACAGUAGGAGGACAUUAUGACACUGCCCUCCCAAUGGAGACAUGGAAGUGUUGACAAUCACAGUGGGAGAGUCUAAAGCCUGAAGUUUGCGAGCCAGCUAGGCAAAGUUUAACCUGUCAGCUCACUUCCUGCAUAUCCACCACAGGCCAAGGGCAGGCUCAGAUGAAGCUCUGUUGCAGACAGGAGCUGUCCCUUGUGAGCUGCAUCUCAGGGAAUGCGGAAGACCAUUCAGCCUCUUGUGAUAUGCGAGAUCAGAGUAGUAAGAG